GCAUUGGUGGUUCAGUGGUAGAAUUCUUGCCUGCCACCCGGGAGGCCCAGGUUCAAUUCCUGGCCAAUGUA
rnacentral:tRNA from 2 species